rnacentral:misc_RNA from 1 species
GAUGAAGAACGCAGCGAAAUGCGAUACGUAGUGUGAAUUGCAGAAUUCAGUGAAUCAUAGAAUCUUUGAACGCACAUUGCACCUCUCGGUAUUCCGGGAGGUAUGCCUGUUCGAGCGUCAUUUGUACCCUCAAGCUCUGCUUGGUGUUGGGUGUUUGUUCCGCCUCUGUGUGUGAACUCGCCUCAAAACAAUUGGCAGCCGGCGUACUUGUUUCGGAGCGCAGCACAUUUUGCGAUCCAGAUCAACGUACAGCGGCAUCCAAGAAGCCUUAUUUAACGCUCUUGACCUCGGAUCAGGUAGGGAUACCCGCUGAACUUAAGCAUAUCAAUAAGCGGAGGA